rnacentral:lncRNA from 1 species
ACAUGUGCCCAUUUAUGCAGUUCAUCGAAGGAGGAAGGAGAUAUCAGUGUGGAUUUUGCAACUGUGUGAAUGAUGUUCCACCAUUCUAUUUCCAACAUCUGGACCACAUUGGAAGAAGACUGGACCACUAUGAGAAACCAGAGUUAUCUCUAGGAUCUUAUGAAUAUGUUGCCACUUUGGAUUAUUGCAGAGUAAGUGUUCCCAGAACUUCAAGUGUUUAUACAUUGAUGUUAAAUUCAAGUGAAUAACUUUCAUAUGUAAAGAACUGACUCUUGAUUCACAAACAAAGCAUUUUGGUGGUACCAUGGAGUGGUAGAAAUGCCUAAGACACAGAUCCCAUCUCCUAGGUUGUUAACAUGAUUCAACUGCCAAACCAUCUACUGGAGGAAUUAUUUUUAAAAACUGAAAUGUGGUGUCAGAAAUAGAAAACAAUAAUUUUUUAUGUCCUUGCCAGACAGAAUAUACCUGGUUCUUAAUGCAGUAGUUCCGUACAGUGCCUCUGCCUCCCUUAUUUUGUAAAGAGUCUCAGAAAAACUUCCCUUCCAAGAGAAAAGCUCAACCAAAAUGGUUAGUAGGACUA